rnacentral:rRNA from 1 species
UCUGAAUCUGCGAACGGCUCCGCAAACCAGUUGUAAACUAUAGCAAGCAGGCUCGGGGUCGGCUCUCACGGGUUGGCUUCGGGCGAUAUGGAUAACCCUGGUAAUUCUGAGGCUAAUACAUGAACGUAAAACCUGGUUGACUGGGCUUCGGUCUGGGAGGCUGGGGGAUGUGUGAUUGCAGGCUUGGGUAACACCGGGAAAGGGCACACGUCCAGACCGCGCUAUAAAGGAUGGGACCUCUUCGGGGGACCCGCCCCAGCGGCUCUUGCUGUGUGCUUCUGACCUAUCAACUAGACGGCAGCGUAAGGGACAUGCUAUGGU